rnacentral:rRNA from 1 species
UACGUAGGAGGCAAGCGUUGUCCGGAAUUACUGGGCGUAAAGCGCGUGUAGGUGGUGGGACAAGUCUGCUGUGAAAGCGCCUGGCUUAACCGGGCGAGGUCGGCGGAAACUGUUCGUCUCGAGGACGGUAGAGGGAGGUGGAAUUCCACGUGUAGCAGUGAAAUGCGUAGAGAUGUGGAGGAACACCGAUGGCGAAGGCAGCCUCCUGGGCCAGUACUGACGCUCAUGCACGAAAGCGUGGGGAGCAAACAGG